CUCAAUAGAGUACUUUUCUACCAGACGACCUGAUACGAGAUGACAACGAUAUGCUAACGCGCAGUAUUUAUAGUACCCUGUGACGUCAUCACAUUAAUAUUCAAAAUGGCCGACCAGUGGCAAAUUCAGAAAUGUGACAAAAUAUUAAGCAAGAUUACAUGAAAAUAAACGUAUGUCAGCAUUUAAGAAUAGAUAAUAAACAUUUAUAUAUACAAAUGGCAUCUGAAAAUCAUAAUAAUGUGAGAGAUAAAAGCAGUUACAUAGAAAGUAAUCAUCAAAACAAUGCGAUGGUUCGUACUCAGAAAUAUUCGUACUCGAAGUCGGAAAAUGAAUAAAUAUUAAAGAACAUUGAUAAAAUAGCCUGAGCAUCACAUUACCCCCACCUCUCAGGAAUCGGUCCCCGAUUAAGAAGUGUGGUUACAAGUACGAAAGCAAUUAUGACUGUAGAACCAGUGCAGAUGUCUAUAAAUAUUAUUUCAGACACACUGAACUGUGCAUGGCACAAAAUCCUGUAGAAUGAUCACAAAAUAUGUAUAUUACGUAUUUGCUUGUGGUGUGUGUUUCUAUGAUAGACCUUGCAACAGAAUCGACACUUCCAUGUCACACCAGAGUGCUGUUCAAGAAUAUGACUGUAACAUCUGCUUCGGGUUGUAAAGGAGAUAUCUCCACAAAUCUUACAUUCAAAGGGUUUCUGAAGAUAGACAAAAUAAGUUUCCUAAGAUUGUCUACAAGAGGAGCUCCUAUCAAUAGGUCAAUUGGCAACCUCAUCUGAGUUCCAAACAUCAUAGAGAAUGGUGUGACACCAGUAGAUUGCUGUACAGCAGUGUGAUGUGCCAUCAUGCAGAAAGGU